UGGUGGAGUGAUUUGUCUGGUUUAUUCCGAUAACGAACGAGUCUCUGGCCUACUAACUAGCGCUUGAAUCUUUCGUUUGACGCGCUUCUUAGAGGGACAAGCCAGUGCUCAGCUGCAUGGGAAAGAGCAAUAACA
rnacentral:rRNA from 1 species